rnacentral:rRNA from 1 species
CGUAGGGUGCGAGCGUUAAUCGGAGUUACUGGGCGUAAAGCGUGCGCAGGCGGUUUUGUAAGACAGAUGUGAAAUCCCCGGGCGUCAACCUGGGACCGUGCAUUUGUGACUGCAAGGCUAGAGUACGGUAGAGGGGAUGGAAUUCCGCGUGUAGCAGUGAAAUGCGUAGAUAUGCGGAGGAACACCGAUGGCGAAGGCAAUCCCCUGGACCUGUACUGACGCUCAUGCACGAAAGCGUGGGGAGCAAACAGGAUUAGAUACCCUGGUAGUCCACGCCCUAAACGAUGUCAACUGGUUGUUGGGUCUUUACUGACUCAGUAACGAAGCUAACGCGUGAAGUUGACCGCCUGGGGAGUACGGCCGCAAGGUUG